rnacentral:lncRNA from 1 species
GAGAAGAACACGUACACGCAAGAUCUCGAUGCAAUUCUCUCACGAAUAAGGUACAAAGUUUCAUCAACCUUUUUGUCUUAAGACAUAUAAUAUUGACUUAAAUCUCGUCUACUUUCAUCACACACAAAGUCUCUUGGCCAAAGAGAGAGUAUUAAGAUAUACAAACGCUCGCCCUUAUCAGCGGAAUAAUUAUAUAUAUAUAUAUAUAUAUUUCCAUAAUUAUAUAUGUUUUGGAUUUUAAUUUCAACCGCCGAUUAAAGGUGGCUAAAUAAGCAGCGGGAGAGUCACCGGAAGAUUGUCGGAUAUUUGUCCAGCAGGUGAAAUCUCCAUCUCAGCUUCUGCUCCCACAUGAUGAUUCUUCUUCAUCUGUACGAUAAUCAUAGGUCAAAAUCACUAUUCACUUUCUUCUUUUUGUCUUCUAUCAACCAUAAAAACACAUAAGGUUAUCUUUUUUUUUUUUUUUUUUUUGUCUGCCUUUUACGUUUAAGCUUUUAAGUUUGGAAGCAUGUACCUAAGCUUUUACCAACCAGUUAAUAAUCUAACCUAUAGCAUGUAAAAAAGUAGCACUACUCCUAGACAGACACUUGGAGUUGAGCCAAUUAUUGGUACCAAACCUAAACCAUAACAAAAAAAAUAAACCCUAAUCGGUUCAUAGACUCUUUUUUCGUUAAAGGGUGAUUAAAUUAAAAUAAAGACAACGUUUACACAACUUUCAAGGAAACCAAUAUUUAACCAAACUAGACUGAACCAGACCAUAUAACCUGAAAGAGAAUCAAACUGAACCAAAACCUAAAUAAACCUUUACACACAAAAAAAGAACCAAAACCUAGUUAUGCGAUGUCCAACAACCGAAAAAUAUAUUUAUAUAUUUAGUAAAAUGAUAUAGCAAUAAUGUAAUUUCUUACUCUUUAUUAAAAAAAAAAAAGAAUAACUUAAAAAUUAUAGUGUAAUCAUUAACUUAUACAGUAACUUUUGUUGUUGUAACAAUCCUGACUUCUCAUCUGAUAUAUAUAUAUAUAUAUUAGAUAGCUUUAUCAAUAAAAUUACUAUCUUAAAAUUAUCUUAAAACUAUUCACCUAUCUUUCUAAAAUCCGAAUUAAAUCGGAAUCAAGAUUUCCCCUAACUCAAACGGACCAGCCCGAAUCGAAUUUCUGUUCUUAUUUAGUAAUAAUCUCACUCACCCUGAUAAACCAAAUCUACCAACAACCAAAAUGCCCUAAUCUUGAUGAGAAGUAUUUUCUAGAAUACAAGACAGAAAUGUGUUGAGUAGUGGCUGCCAAAAAAGAAGAAGAGAAAGUGCUAACUAGUGAAUGCUUGAAGUGCAAUGUCUAUAUGUAGUAUUCAUGGACAAGAAGUGCUUCCUAGUUAUGCAUAUACUCUGUAUAGGAAAUGUAGCUUUCGUUACCUGGCUAGCCAAAACCUGGUUCUCUUCUUUCAGCAAUUUCUCCUGUUUUAAAAAGACCAACACUUUCAGCAAAUACUGAUCAAGUUUCUAAACCUAACUUCUUCAGAUUUUGGAAUCCAAAACAUAUGCAUUGGGAAGUAGUUGCAAAGAUGUGUGCAAGCUCGUUAAGAAGACUUAGAGAAACAAAUGACAACACACAAAACAAUAUAUCUGAUGUGCUAUAAACUUGGAAUCAAAUAUUU